rnacentral:rRNA from 1 species
GACGAACGCUGGCGGCGCGCCUAACACAUGCAAGUCGAACGAGAGAUGAGGAGCUUGCUCUUCAGAUCGAGUGGCGAACGGGUGAGUAACGCGUGAGGAACCUGCCUCAAAGAGGGGGACAACAGUUGGAAACGACUGCUAAUACCGCAUAAGCCCACGGCUCGGCAUCGAGCAGAGGGAAAAGGAGCAAUCCGCUUUGAGAUGGCCUCGCGUCCGAUUAGCUAGUUGGUGAGGUAACGGCCCACCAAGGCGACGAUCGGUAGCCGGACUGAGAGGUUGAACGGCCACAUUGGGACUGAGACACGGCCCAGACUCCUACGGGAGGCAGCAGUGGGGAAUAUUGCACAAUGGGGGAAACCCUGAUGCAGCGACGCCGCGUGGAGGAAGAAGGUCUUCGGAUUGUAAACUCCUGUUGUUGAGGAAGAUAAUGACGGUACUCAACAAGGAAGUGACGGCUAACUACGUG